rnacentral:misc_RNA from 1 species
GAUGACACCCCACCCACACUCACUAUCUGAUCCCUAUUGGUCAAGUAGAAAGCCAACAGUUUGAUGCUAUUAAACCCAUACUUAGUUUCCUCAAGAGUACAUUAUGGAGAACACAAUCAAAUGCCUUACUCAGCAGAACAGUACUUCUACCCUUACUUGUUCUAGAUUGAAUAGAAAUAUUUUAGUAGGAUGUUUCAGGAUAUUAUCUAUUUUAAACCCUAUUCCUACAUUCUAGGUACUAAAACUCACUCUUACCUAAAAAUGUCAUACAGCUCCUGGAAGUUCCUCAACCAUUUAAAAGACUUACUCUCAAAAUAUGCAUCUGACAAAUCACCCCAUCAAGUAGAUUUCUUCCAAAUAUUGAAUAAGACACCACCAUCCUAUGAUAUUGGAGAGUAUGUAAAAUCAGCCGAGAAAAGGAUAUCUGCCAUGCAGCAAUCUGUGCAAAACCUUUAUAAUGCUGCUGUUGAAUCCCCUACUGGGUCUGACAAAAACAAGCAGAAGAAAAAUAGUUUGGUGGAAAAAGAUUGGAAGAAUAUAAAGAGAAUUUCACAGUCAGAGAGAUCCUUAGACAUAUCUAACAUCUCAGGUAUUUUAAGCAGGAUUCAGCAAGCUUCUACUGAAGAAGAAAUCCUAAGGGUUGUUGAAUAUCUUAUAGCUCAUUUAAAAGAACACCCUAAUGUAAGAAAUAAUGCCAUUCAGAAAGGAGCCAUAAGAAUUCUCCUUAAUAAACAUAAGAAAGCCUUAAGUCAGACAGCCAAGGGAGCAAUGAGGGAAGCUCUUACAAUCUUAGGUUACCACAAUCCAGUGGCUGGAAGAGGUAUUCGGAUUUUAUCAAUAGAUGGCGGGGGUAUUCGCGGAGUAUUGGUACUUGAAAUGCUUAAAAAACUCGAGGAGCUCACUGGUAAAAGAACUUAUGAAUUAUUCGAUUUCUUUUGUGGAGUUAGUACUGGAGCAAUUUUAACUUAUUCCAUGGGUAUCCAUUUAAGGAAACUUGAGGACAUUAUUACCAGGUACGAGAACUUGAGUCAAGAAAUUUUCAAUCAGUCUCGCUUUUUGGGAACGGGAAAACUGAUGUGGAGUCACGCCUAUUACGAUACCGCCUUAUGGGAGAAAAAAUUGGAGGAAUAUUUAGGAAACGAAUCGCUUAUUUCUACUUCGAGAAAUUCUCAGUGUCCCAAGAUUUGCGUGGUAUCCGCGGUGGUUAACCAGUCUCAAGUUUCAGCUUAUGCUUUUCGAAAUUACGCCUUGCCAUGGAGAUUUCAAUCGGAGUAUGACGGCACUUAUGACGCGAAAGUAUGGCAGGCUGCCCGAGCAUCUGCUGCAGCCCCAACUUAUUUUGAGGAGUUUAGAAUCGGGGACCAUAUACAUCAGGAUGGUGCCAUCUUAGUAAAUAAUCCAACAGCUAUAGCGAUUCACGAGGCGAAAUUAAUAUGGCCAAACACUCCGAUACAAUGUGUAGUUUCCUUCGGCACUGGCCGUUCCAUACCCAGUCCAGCCGAAUUGGGAAAGCAAACAACGGUCGAUAAUACGGUUGGUAGCGAAGGCACUUCUUGGACCAAUAAGUUUUAUAAGAUAUUAGAUAGUGCCACUGAUACACAAGCUGUUCAUAUAAUGUUAAGCGACUUACUCCCAGACGAUGUGUAUUACCGUUUCAAUCCUUACCUCACAGAACUUAUUGGGAUAGUUGAAACAGAUAAAGAGAAACAGAGGCAGAUAAAACGAGACGCGCUGAUGUACCUUAGAAGGAACGAAGAUAAAUUUCAGCAAGCAGCUAAAACUUUGACUUUGAGUAAGAGUUAUGGACAAAAGUUUAGGGACAAAGUGAAUUAUCAAAGGGAGUUGUUAGGGGUUUAGUGUUGGUUUUACUAUACGCGUGGACGAAUUAAGAAUCAAAAGAAUUUCGCUUACUUGAUGACAUUUUUCGCGUGGGAUGAGAAUCACGUAAACAAUACCGUGUGAAAUUUUCGAAUACAUUGUCUUAAUUCUUAUUGUGUGCUUGCUAGUUUUCAUACAUUUCACGGAAAUGGAAAAGUCGAGCAAAGAGAGAAGAACCAAUACAGAACUGCUGAGAAAGAUGGAUUUCCUGAAUACAGUUAAAAUUCGAAAGCUCAAAUAUCUUGGACAUGUAAUCCGUAAUAAUAGCCAAUAUGUCCUUUUGCUGAAGAUCCUUCAAUUCGAAAAAGUUCGAAUAGUCAACAUGAUCCGAAGUGGAUAGGCACGGUAAGAAGGAGAUUUCUACAAGAACGAAUAUAGGUUUAAAAAAUCCAUUCACAAAUACAAUUAAAAUUUGUAUCGCAAUUGUGGUUGAAUAAAUUAUUUAAAAAAAUA